GACACAAGGUAUUUUGCUGAUUGCAGAUACUGGCAGUGUAAUUAACUGAAAUCAUGUACAAGGAAAAUUCACUAGUGAAAUUCAGAAUGAUUGCCUGCAGGAAAAAUGAAAUGUGGCUGCCUCAUUUGAUACAUAUCAUAGCCUAAUUCACACUCAUCUGGAUCCCUGUGCUGUAGGAUUAUUUUCCAGUAUGAAACUUGGAGAAAUGAGAGGACACAGCCUCUGCACAACUCCAAUGGGGUGACCAUACAUAAAGGGAUGGCCCAUAAAACCUCAGCUCUGCUCACAGCUCCUGUAUCAACCCUAAAAUCAGGCCUGGGACCCUUUACCAAGCUGCCUGCAUGCAGGUUGUUGCUCACUCUGCAAGAGAAGUAAAGAGAAAACAACAUUUUAGGACUGUAGGAGAAGAAGGUGGAAAAGAAGUCUGUUAGUGCCAAAACAUAAAUUGCUUAGGAACAAGGAGGAGAAGUCGGCAGCGCUAUCAUUCCUGCAUUCCUAUGUUCUACAUAAAUUUUGAUGAGUUUUGGCCAUGCUUGGGAGGAUUUGUAUUUUUACUCAAAUCAACCAUCACAAAUUAGAAAGUAUUGUGAGAAGAUUUCAGAUGUUGAUGAGCUGACGGGACUAAGCAGAUAAAGGUUCUUCUGACUUCAACCCUCCGGAAAAGGGUUGUAUUUGGAUUAUGAGGAACUACCUCAAGUAUCAUAUGUGGUCAACUGUAAUCAACCAUAAUUUUGAGAGAACUGCAUGCAGGAAUAACUACUACGGCAUAUCCAUUUUGUCGUUCUGAGAACUGUGGAUAUUCUUUGGUUUGUAAAAUUAGGAGCAAUAUUCUGGCCCAUUUAUCUGGGACAUUGCCUUAAUCUCUGACCUAUCUUGCAUGCUUGGGUUUAUGGGAGUAAAGGACAUCAAGAUACUUUACUGUCUAAAGGUAGGCAUCCUCAAACAGUCCUCAGGCAUGAAAAUGACAUUCACAAGAAGCUUAUUGCAAAGAAAAUGAAAUAAUUGAAAAGUCUUUUAAAAUAUUUCUGAUGAUCCUGAAUAAGAGAUUGUUGUCUGUAAAGUACUGCAAUAAUUGUAUAGUUAAUGCACAAAGCUGUACAUUGACCCUGUAAGAGUCUCCAGGUAUUUUUUCAUAUAGUUUUCUUCAUAUUUUCAGCUUUAUCCCCUUUCUUCCCCUAGUCUUUCACUAGAAAAGAAAAUAAAGUUCUAAUUCUUCAUGAUCAAGGAUAUAACUUUUUCAUUACAUUUCUUUCUACUCCUUAACUUCUGUGUUUUUGUUUCUUUGUUUUUGUUUUGUCUCCUUUGUACUGCUUUGGUUUCACAGAUCCUUAGCUCACUACUGACUGUUCAAACUAGUUUCCCAAAUUGCACCAGGCAAAUACCUCUUUCUGCUCCCAUAAAUAUACUUCGCAAAAUCUUUGUUUUUUUUUUCUCUUGAAUAAUAUUCUUUUCAUGCUUGACAUUAGAGUUUUACUUUAUGGUUUUUAUGCAUUGGUCUUCUGAUUGUAUACUCCUAAGGACAGGAAAUACAGCUCAAACUGCUUAUAAAGCACUGUGUACCUUUUCAGUACUGUAUAUCUGAGUUGUUUACAGAACCAGCAGUGAAAUUCAUCCGCGUGCUACAGAACCACUGCAGUGUCCACAAGCUGAGAUUGUGCUAUUGGAGCCUUUCACAAAUAUCAAAUAUAUAUACUUAAAGCUGUGUAACAUUUAUGAGUUUUAUUUGGAUUAUUUACUAUACUUGUUUAAUCGAAUAACAUAUCAAGUUAUUUCUACCAGCUCUGUUAGCGGUUUUAUUAACUGUUGAAAGUGUCAGCUUCGAGAUCAGAUUCAUGAAGAUGAAUUCUUUGAAAAUGCUGUCAAUUUUCCUAAGCCUCAUCUCUGUGUAACAGGUUCAAGAUCCUGAUAAGAGCAGGUCAUGUAACCGUGAGAAAAAUGUUUCAGAAACUCAUGAAGCUGUACUUGAUCUAUUUUUUGAAACUGGCAAUUUUUUCAUUGAUUUCAUGAAACAAUUAAUAUCCUCCAUUUGGUGAAAAAAUUACAGUGCAAGAUAACUAACCUUUCACACAGAAUGUAUUAAUCAAAGUAUGUAUACAUAUACGUGUGUGGGGGGGGGUUAUUUUUUAG